AUGAACGCUGGCGGCGUGCCUAAUACAUGCAAGUCGAGCGAACAGACGAGGAGCUUGCUCCUCUGACGUUAGCGGCGGACGGGUGAGUAACACGUGGAUAACCUACCUAUAAGACUGGGAUAACUUCGGGAAACCGGAGCUAAUACCGGAUAACAUGUUGAACCGCAUGGUUCAACAGUGAAAGACGGUCUUGCUGUCACUUAUAGAUGGAUCCGCGCCGCAUUAGCUAGUUGGUAAGGUAACGGCUUACCAAGGCAACGAUGCGUAGCCGACCUGAGAGGGUGAUCGGCCACACUGGAACUGAGACACGGUCCAGACUCCUACGGGAGGCAGCAGUAGGGAAUCUUCCGCAAUGGGCGAAAGCCUGACGGAGCAACGCCGCGUGAGAGAUGAAGGUCUUCGGAUCGUAAAACUCUGUUAUUAGGGAAGAACAAAUGUGUAAGUAACUAUGCACGUCUUGACGGUACCUAAUCAGAAAGCCACGGCUAACUACGUG
rnacentral:rRNA from 1 species